rnacentral:rRNA from 5 species
UAGUGGCGAACGGGUGAGUAACACGUGGGCAAUCUGCCCUGCACUCUGGGACAAGCCCUGGAAACGGGGUCUAAUACCGGAUAAUACUCUCGCAGGCAUCUGUGAGGGUUGAAAGCUCCGGCGGUGCAGGAUGAGCCCGCGGCCUAUCAGCUUGUUGGUGAGGUAGUGGCUCACCAAGGCGACGACGGGUAGCCGGCCUGAGAGGGCGACCGGCCACACUGGGACUGAGACACGGCCCAGACUCCUACGGGAGGCAGCAGUGGGGAAUAUUGCACAAUGGGCGAAAGCCUGAUGCAGCGACGCCGCGUGAGGGAUGACGGCCUUCGGGUUGUAAACCUCUUUCAGCAGGGAAGAAGCGAAAGUGACGGUACCUGCAGAAGAAGCGCCGGCUAACUACGUGCCAGCAGCCGCGGUAAUACGUAGGGCGCAAGCGUUGUCCGGAAUUAUUGGGCGUAAAGAGCUCGUAGGCGGCUUGUCACGUCGAUUGUGAAAGCCCGAGGCUUAACCUCGGGUCUGCAGUCGAUACGGGCUAGCUAGAGUGUGGUAGGGGAGAUCGGAAUUCCU